AGGGGGUAGAAGAAGUAACAUCACCCAGCUGGCUCUUUCCAGAAUAUCUUGGAGAGACUUGUCAGAACAGAAGCAACACAAAAUAAUAAAAGCCUCCAGUGGGAAUAAAGUAGUUUUGCAAGCGGAACAAUUGGAGAAUUACAUGUUGACAUCUUCAUAUCCAUUAGUAGGCUUUCUUCACCUGAUAGAACUGUCUAGAGGGUGACUGAGCAGCAGGAGACCACACGAGGUGACACAUUUUUAAAGUGUGCUCAAGAAUCUGAAAAUAACAUGACCCUGGUUAUGGAAA